rnacentral:rRNA from 1 species
GGCGAACGCUGGCGGCGUGCUUAACACAUGCAAGUCGAACGGUAAGGCUCCAGCUUGCUGGGGUACACGAGUGGCGAACGGGUGAGUAACACGUGGGUGACCUGCCCUGCACUUCGGGAUAAGCCUGGGAAACUGGGUCUAAUACCGGAUAGGACCAUGGUGUGGAUACUGUGGUGGAAAGUUUUUUCGGUGUGGGAUGGGCCCGCGGCCUAUCAGCUUGUUGGUGGGGUAAUGGCCUACCAAGGCGGCGACGGGUAGCCGGCCUGAGAGGGUGGACGGCCACAUUGGGACUGAGACACGGCCCAGACUCCUACGGGAGGCAGCAGUGGGGAAUAUUGCACAAUGGGCGGAAGCCUGAUGCAGCGACGCCGCGUGGGGGAUGACGGCCUUCGGGUUGUAAACUCCUUUCACCAUCGACGAAGGGUUUCCGACGGUAGAUGGAGAAGAAGCACCGGCUAACUACGUG